UGAUUUUAAUAAAAGACUUUAUUGGAAAAAAAGUAUCAAAAAACACAUUUAAUAAAAAAAAAUAAAAAACCUGGCCUGUUGAAAUGCUUUUAUAAAAAUGUAAAAAGUGUAUCUAACAAGAUAAGAGAGAACCCUUUGCUGUGCUGAGUGUUUAAGAUCUGAUACACUACAGGUUUAGUAUCAUGGAGUUAGAUCACAACGACGGUAGGAGGUAAACACACACACACACACACACACACACAGAGACAAAGUAUCAAAAGUAAUCUUUCUGAAACACAACGGGUUUUACCUGGCCGGAUCCUGUGGACCCAACGUUUGUAGUAAUCGUAUCCAUAAUUAGAAUAACAACAGUGUUCUCGAUCAAGUGCAGCUUUAAAACAUGUUACUGGGUUCAGCUCGUAGGCCUAAUCUUCAAUUGACCCGUAGGACCCUUUGCCCUUUGCCCUUGUGGAGAUCUGAGAAGAUUGGAUGGGUCUAAAUCCACUAAAUAUUACCAUAUUGCUUACAUCUGUCGAAUCAUCUCAGAUCUCCACGAGGAAGUAGGGUCUAGGGGUCGAUCAUAGGGCCGUAGGGUCUAAGGGGUCGAUCAUAGACUGUAGGAUCUAAGGGGUCGAUCAUAGACUGUAGGAUCUAAGGGGUCGAUCAUAGGGCCGUAGGGUCUAGGGGUCGAUCAUAGACUGUAGGAUCUAAGGGGUCGAUCAUAGGGCCGUAGGGUCUAGGGGUCGAUCAUAGACUGUAGGAUCUAAGGGGUCGAUCAUAGACCGUAGGGUCUAGGGGGUCGAUCAUAGGGCCGUAGGAUCUAGGGGUCGAUCAUAGACUGUAGGAUCUAAGGGGUCGAUCAUAGACUGUAGGGUCUAAGGGGUCGAUCAUAGGGCCGUAGGGUCUAGGGGUCGAUCAUAGACUGUAGGAUCUAAGGGGUCGAUCAUAGACUGUAGGGGUCUAGGGGUCGAUCAUAGACUGUAGGGUCUAAGGGGUCGAUCAUAGACUGUAGGGUCUAGGGGUCGAUCAUAGGGCCGUAGGAUCUAAGGGGUCGAUCAUAGACUGUAGGGUCUAGGGGUCGAUCAUAGGGCCGUAGGAUCUAUGGGGUCGAUCAGAGACCGUAGGAUCUAAGGGGUCGAUCAUAGACUGUAGGAUCUAAGGGGUCGAUCAUAGACUGUAGGGUCUAGGGGUCGAUCAUAGGCUGUAGGGUCUAGGGGUCGGUUUGCGAUUGGUUCAUAGUUUGAUGCAUUGUGAACUCUGUAGUAAACUCAGUGUAAGACUUUAGGACAAAAGUAAUAACAUAAUAAUAACAUAAUAAUAACAUAAUAAUAAUAAUAAUAAUACAUUUUGUUCAAUGGAAAUGUUUCCCCUAUGAUACAGUAUAUAGACAAGAUAGGAAACAAGACAAAUCAGAAUACAGGUGAUGGCCCAAUUGUUACGUAAGCAUCAUAUGAUCAUUCAUAACCAUUCACAAGGUUGACAUAGGAGCUGACAUAAGAUGUAAUGUCUAGCAGUAAAACGUUAACACUCAUAUAGGCAUUAUAAGGCAUUAUAAAGUUUUGUAAAGGCCUCUCCUCGGGCUUUAAGUGUUUUAUGACUGAAAUACAGAGGGGUAGCUCUGUAUUCAUUUAAUGACAUUUUAUUGAAAAAAAAUAUUUUUUUACUUUGACCCGUAAUAAUGCUAGGGUCUGGGGUUAGGGGUUAGGGGUUAUGGGUCAAAUACUGAAGUCAAACACUGCUCGAUUGGCCGGUUGUAUAUAUAUAUAAAAUUAAAAAAAACAGUCUUCGUCAAAACAUAACCAAAUAAAUUAAUCAACUUGUUCUUUAUAUUAAAAUAUUACAACUUAUAAUUAUUAAGAAUACAGCCCAAUUAUUAUUGAAUUAUAGGCACAUCAUUUUCUCCCUGUUUCAUAAAACAACAUAGCAUUAAAAAAACACAGGAUCUACAAAAAAAAAGUUGAAAUAGAAAUAAACACAAAGUCUUUGGUCCGUUGGUGUGUGUGUGUGUGUGUGUGUGUGUGUGUGUGUGUGUGUGUGUGUGUGUGUGUGUGUGUGUGUGUGUGUGUGUGUGUGUGUGUGUGUGUGUGUGUGUGUGUGUGUGUGUGUGUGUGUGUGUGUGUGUGUGUGUGUGUGUGUG
rnacentral:lncRNA from 1 species